rnacentral:rRNA from 1 species
GGAUUAGAUACCCUGGUAGUCCACACCGUAAACGAUGGAUACUAGGCGUUUGGAGAGUUAACCCUCUGAGUGCCGCAGUUCACACAUUAAGUAUCCCGCCUGGGGAGUACGGUCGCAAGGCUAAAACUCAAAGGAAUUGACGGGGGCCCGCACAAGCGGUGGAGUAUGUGGUUUAAUUCGAAGCAACGCGCAGAACCUUACCUGGCCUUGACAUCCCGGGACAACCUCAGAGAUGAGGCGUUCUCUUCGGAGACUCGGUGACAGAUGCUGCAUGGCUGUCGUCAGCUCGUGCCG